AUUGAACGCUGGCGGCAUGCCUUACACAUGCAAGUCGAACGGUAACAGGUCUUCGGAUGCUGACGAGUGGCGAACGGGUGAGUAAUACAUCGGAACGUGCCCGAUCGUGGGGGAUAACGGAGCGAAAGCUUUGCUAAUACCGCAUACGAUCUACGGAUGAAAGCAGGGGACCGCAAGGCCUUGCGCGGACGGAGCGGCCGAUGGCAGAUUAGGUAGUUGGUGGGAUAAAAGCUUACCAAGCCGACGAUCUGGAGCUGGUCUGAGAGGACGACCAGCCACACUGGGACUGAGACACGGCCCCGCCUCCUACGGGAGGCCGCGGUGGGGAAUUUUGGACAAUGGGCGAAGGCCUGAUCCAGCCAUCCCGCCUGCAGGAUGAAGGCCUUCGGGUUGUAAACUGCUUUUGUACGGAACGAAAAGACUCUUUCUAAUAAAGAGCGUCCAUGACGGUAGCGUAAGAAUAAGCACCGGCUAACUACGUG
rnacentral:rRNA from 1 species